UAGGGGAUCUUCCACAAUGGGCGAAAGCCUGAUGGAGCAACGCCGCGUGUGUGAUGAAGGGUUUCGGCUCGUAAAACACUGUUGUAAGAGAAGAAUGACAUUGAGAGUAACUGUUCAAUGUGUGACGGUAUCUUACCAGAAAGGAACGGCUAAAUACGUGCCGG
rnacentral:rRNA from 1 species